rnacentral:rRNA from 1 species
AUUGAACGCUGGCGGCAUGCCUUACACAUGCAAGUCGAACGGCAGCACGGGAGCAAUCCUGGUGGCGAGUGGCGAACGGGUGAGUAAAGUAUCGGAACGUGCCCAGUCGUGGGGGAUAACGUAGCGAAAGUUACGCUAAUACCGCAUACGAUCUAUGGAUGAAAGCGGGGGAUCGCAAGACCUCGCGCGAUUGGAGCGGCCGAUAUCAGAUUAGGUAGUUGGUGGGGUAAAGGCUCACCAAGCAGACGAUCUGUAGCUGGUCUGAGAGGACGACCAGCCACACUGGGACUGAGACACAGCCCAGACUCCUACGGGAGGCAGCAGUGGGGAAUUUUGGACAAUGGGCGAAAGCCUGAUCCAGCCAUGCCGCGUGCAGGAUGAAGGCCUUCGGGUUGUAAACUGCUUUUGUACGGAACGAAAAGGUUUGGCCUAAUAAGCUGAGCUCAUGACGGUACCGUAAGAAUAAGCACCGGCUAACUACGUGCCAGCCGCCGCCGUAACAC